rnacentral:lncRNA from 1 species
ACACUGUUAAUUGUUUGCUUACACUAAAGUCACUGAAGUUAUGGUAUAAUAAACCUUAGGUUAUAAUUUUGCUGUGAUUUUAAGGGGUUAAUAAGCACUUGGUUAAAAUAAUAAUAAUAAAGUAGAACAUUCUGGUUGAUUGUAUGUUUGUGUUAAAAUUAUGGUUUAAACCCUGAUUAGAACUCAGUAUAAAGUUAAAAACUGGAAUAAAAAUGACCCAGUGAAUCUGUUUAAAAGACCUCAGGCUUUGAGUUCAGCCUGAAAACACAGGUAGUAUUAAAGUAUAUACCGGAGGAUUUGUUUACAAACCAAAGCAUAAAAUUAUUUAUUUGAUUAACUUAUUUAUGCUAGAAUCCAUCAGUAGGAUUGUAUUUUAAAACUAAAACCUAAACUCUAAAUGAUUUUUAUCCAGUAUCCAAAAGUAUCAAAUAAUUUAAUUUUAAAGUAAAAAAAAUGGACAUUCAUGGGCUAAAUUCUAGGUCUAUGUUUAAAUGUCACAAUUUUAAAUGCUAAAAAUGAACUUUGCAAAUGCUCUUAGUACGUUUGAUCUUUUACUUUAUGCUGAACACGUCAUAGAAUUCUAAUAUAUUAUUCUAGAACGUUCUAAAGGUGUUCUGAGUACGUUUGAUCCUUUACAUUAUGCUUAACACGUCAGAAUGUUCUAAAAUAGAUUUCUAGAACGUUCUAAAGGUGUUCUGGGUACGUUUGACCCUUACAUCAUGCUUAAGACGUCAGAACGUUCUAAAAACAUACUGAUGGCGUCAGCGCGUUGUGAAGGCGGUCGGCUGUUCUGAAGUUUGGAAGUUUUAAUGAGAGCGCGCGCUGAUAUGUCAGGCGCUUAAAUUGAGCUUAAUUGAAGCAGAGACACUGCGGGAAAUAUCGAGCUCGCGCUCUUUUCCUUUUUAGCGCGCGCGGAUCUAUAUCUCUAUAUCUCGGGCGCUUCUACUGAAGGUGCCUGGUGGCAUGGUGGAACUAAAGCCUCAGAAGGAAGACUCCCCGUGGCUUUGAUUCCACUGGUAGAAGCUUCUACAGGGAAGUCCCUCAGUGCCG